rnacentral:rRNA from 1 species
GCCAGCAGCCAUAUUACCCUGCAGCUCACCAGUGGCAGCCCCCUGAGGCCCAGCAGGGGUGAGCCUGGUCAGUACCUGGAUGGAGACCUCCUGGGAAAAACUGAGGCUGCUGCUGGUG